rnacentral:rRNA from 1 species
UACGAAGGAUGCGAUCGUUAUCCGGAUUUAUUGGGUUUAAAGGGAGCGUAGGCGGUCUUAUAAGUCAGUGGUGAAAUCCUAUCGCUUAACGAUAGACGUGCCAUUGAUACUGUAGGACUUGAGUACAGAUGCCGUUGGCGGAAUGUGUCAUGUAGCGGUGAAAUGCAUAGAUAUGACACAGAACACCGAUUGCGAAGGCAGCUGACGAAACUGUAACUGACGCUGAGGCUCGAAAGCGUGGGGAUCAAACAGG